rnacentral:rRNA from 1 species
GACGAACGCUGGCGGCGUGCUUAACACAUGCAAGUCGAACGGAAAGGCCCUGCUUUUGUGGGGUGCUCGAGUGGCGAACGGGUGAGUAACACGUGAGUAACCUGCCCUUGACUUUGGGAUAACUUCAGGAAACUGGGGCUAAUACCGGAUAGGAGCUCCUGCUGCAUGGUGGGGGUUGGAAAGUUUCGGCGGUUGGGGAUGGACUCGCGGCUUAUCAGCUUGUUGGUGGGGUAGUGGCUUACCAAGGCUUUGACGGGUAGCCGGCCUGAGAGGGUGACCGGCCACAUUGGGACUGAGAGACGGCCCAGAAUCCUACGGGAGGCAGCAGUGGGGAAUAUUGCAGAAUGGGCGGAAGCCUGAGGCAGAAACGCCGCGUGCGGGAUGACGGCCUUCGGGGGAUAAACAGCUUUCGCCGGUGACGAAGAGUGAGUGACGGUAAUGGGUAAAGAAGCACCGGCUAACUACGUG